rnacentral:rRNA from 1 species
UAAGGAAUAUUGGUCAAUGGACGCAAGUCUGAACCAGCCAUGCCGCGUGAAGGAUGAAGGUCCUCUGGAUUGUAAACUUCUUUUAUCUGGGACGAAAACGGGAUUUUUAUCUCAAUUGACGGUACCAGAGGAAUAAGCACCGGCUAACUCCGUGCCAGCAGCCGCGGUAAUACGGAGGGUGCGAGCGUUAUCCGGAUUUACUGGGUUUAAAGGGUGCGUAGGUGGGCUUAUAAGUCAGUGGUGAAAUCUCCGAGCUUAACUUGGAAACUGCCGUUGAUACUAUAGGUCUUGAAUUAUCUGGAGGUAAGCGGAAUACGUCAUGUAGCGGUGAAAUGCUUAGAUAUGACAUAGAACACCAAUUGCGAAGGCAGCUUACUACAUAUAAAUUGACGCUGAGGCACGAAAGCGUGGGGACCAAACA